rnacentral:rRNA from 1 species
CUUGCUCCCGGAUGUUAGCGGCGGACGGGUGAGUAACACGUGGGUAACCUGCCUGUAAGACUGGGAUAACUCCGGGAAACCGGAGCUAAUACCGGAUAGUUCCUUGAACCGCAUGGUUCAAGGAUGAAAGACGGUUUCGGCUGUCACUUACAGAUGGACCCGCGGCGCAUUAGCUAGUUGGUGGGGUAAUGGCUCACCAAGGCGACGAUGCGUAGCCGACCUGAGAGGGUGAUCGGCCACACUGGGACUGAGACACGGCCCAGACUCCUACGGGAGGCAGCAGUAGGGAAUCUUCCGCAAUGGACGAAAGUCUGACGGAGCAACGCCGCGUGAGUGAUGAAGGUUUUCGGAUCGUAAAGCUCUGUUGUUAGGGAAGAACAAGUGCGAGAGUAACUGCUCGCACCUUGACGGUACCUAACCAGAAAGCCACGGCUAACUACGUGCCAGCAGCCGCGGUAAUACGUAGGUGGCAAGCGUUGUCCGGAAUUAUUGGGCGUAAAGGGCUCGCAGGCGGUUUCUUAAGUCUGAUGUGAAAGCCCCCGGCUCAACCGGGGAGGGUCAUUGGAAACUGGGAAACUUGAGUGCAGAAGAGGAGAGUGGAAUUCCACGUGUAGCGGUGAAAUGCGUAGAGAUGUGGAGGAACACCAGUGGCGAAGGCGACUCUCUGGUCUGUAACUGACGCUCAGGAGCGAAAGCGUGGGGAGCGAACAGGAUUAGAUACCCUGGUAGUCCACGCCCUAAACGAUGAGUGCGACGUGUU